rnacentral:rRNA from 1 species
UUUAACGAGAGUUUGAUCCUGGCUCAGGAUGAACGCUGGCGGCGUGCCUAACACAUGCAAGUCGAGCGAAGCACUUUACUUUGAUUCUUCGGAUGAAGAGUUUUGUGACUGAGCGGCG